AGACUUGCUCCAUUAUAUCCAGUGAGACCACUGGAUGUCAAUCCUUUUUGCACCAGUGAUUUCCUGGUUAACGCAUUUACACCUUUCACACAUAAUGGCGAAGAAUGGCGCAAGGAAAGGCAACCGGAAGGUAUCUUGAUUGCCAAUUUGAUAAUCUCGAUUACUUGGAAAACUCUUAAGAGAUACCAAGUGGCGAGCGAAGAGAAAGACAUGGUUUGUGUAUUAACUGCUGGGAAAUGAAUGUCGCAACCCCAAUCUUUCCUCUUCGAUUUCUACUUUACUUCUUUGUUGUCAGCAACUGAGAGCCUGAAAUGUAUCCUAGAAUCUAGCUCAGUUGGCAACGGAUAUCAUAGAAUGUAUUGAAGAUAUAUUGUGUCGAUCCUAAAGCGAAGGAAGGGGUGUUAGGUAUUAGUGGA
rnacentral:sRNA from 2 species